rnacentral:lncRNA from 1 species
CAUAAGUGACAAUUAAUGAAAUAUUAAAAUAAGAUUUUAUUGCUAAAAUUUCAACUCUGUUACUACAAUAUACUUCUAACUCCUAAGCCAUUAACAAGGCUUGGAGUUGGAUUCAAACAGAAAUUAAAACAAUGAUUGAAAGCAUCUAAACUAUGAUCCUAUCUCAUAAGAAACUUGUAGAUUUUUUCUUUUCUUUAGCUGAUUCUCCUUCUCGUGUGUUGGAAGGAUGGA